rnacentral:rRNA from 1 species
UACGGAGGGCGCUAGCGUUGUUCGGAAUUACUGGGCGUAAAGCGUGCGCAGGCGGCUCCUUAAGUCAGAUGUGAAAGCCCCGGGCCUAACCUGGGAACUGCGUUUGAAACUGGGGAGCUAGAGUGUGGAAGAGGGGGGUGGAAUUCCAGGUGUAGCAGUGAAAUGCGUAGAGAUCUGGAGGAACACCGAUGGCGAAGGCAGCCCCCUGGGCUAACACUGACGCUCAUGCACGAAAGCGUGGGGAGCAAACAGG